AAAAUGCUUUUUUUAAAAUUACCAAUAAAGGACUUAGCGAUGUUUACCCUAAUGGUUGUUAUGGAGACUAGAUGGUCCUAAGAUGUUUCUCUAGUGCGCUUUUACAACUCAGACUCAAAUGCCUGUGCAUUCUGUGUUUUUUGCUUAAAGAAUUUGAGAUAUUUAUUCUUACAACAUUUCCUCAAAUCAAGAGAUGGGUUUUUCUAGAAUGUUCAGGGUGACAUUAUACUAUUUCAAUAAUAAAUAGGACUUGAUCUGAAGAUUCUGAAAUGGUUCAUCCCCAGAGAAACCAUCAGCAACCAGAGAACAAGACAAGUUUGGAAGUGUUCGUGUGUGUCUGUGUGUGUUGCAGAAACAAAAGAUAUGAGAUGUGGAGCCAGUCGGUUUUAAGUCUCCUGAUGCUUCCCACUUCCCCUUCUCUGUGGAUCUUUGUCUAGCUCAGUUGAAUAUAUUUGCUCCCAGAAAUCAUCCUGCUUUUGGAUUCCAUGUUUUCAUUCCAACAUGGCGUAGCAGGAGCAA